UUUAGAGGGGAUUAUUAAAUAUAGUAAGAAUUUUUUUAGGGGUAAAAAAAAGAAUUAUUAUUUUAGUAAAAAUAGGGGAACAAUUAUUGGUAAUUAUAGUUUAAUAGUAUCGUGAAAGAAUUUUUUUUUAGGGGUAAAAGAAAAAUUUUUAUUUGUACCUUGUGUCUCAGGGUUUAUCGAAUAUUAUUAAAAUUAUAGUUUCUCGAAUUUAAAAGAGCUAAAAUUAUAUUAUUUUAUUGUAAAAUAAACAUUUAUAAUAUAAUUUUAGAAAUGAAAUGUUAUUCGUUUUUAAUAUAUCUAGUUAUUCAAGAAAAAAAUUUAAUUUUGUUUUUAUUAAGAUAUAAUUUAUUUAAUAAUAGUAUUUUUAUAAAAAGUGAUUUUUGGGGGGAUAAGCUUUUUAAAAAAAAAUUAUAAAAAAAUAAAAAUAAUAAAAAAUUAUAGGAUUAGUAGUGUCCAUUAUUAAAAUAAUGUUAUAAUUAAUUUUGAGGGGUAAAUUAUUUUUAUUUAUUUUAAAUAUUUUAUUGAAUUAAAAAUUUAAAUUGUGAGUAUUUUGAGAAUAUGAUAAAAUUAGUAGAAAUGAAAUUGUAGGGGAGAUAGCUUUAUUAAGGUAAAUUAAAGGAAUUCGGCAAAAUUAUUUUUCACCUGUUUAUUAAAAACAUGGCUUUUUGUAUAUAAUUUAAAGUCUGGCCUGCCCACUGAAGUUUUAAAGGGCCGCGGUAACUUGACCGUGCUAAGGUAGCAUAAUCAUUAGUUUUUUAAUUGAAAGCUGGUAUGAAUGGUUUGAUGAAAAAAUAACUGUCUCUGAUUUAUUUUAAUUGAAUUUUAUAUUUAAGUAAAAAAGCUUAAAUUUUUUUAAAAGACGAGAAGACCCUAUAGAGUUUUAUAAAUUUAAAUUUUAGUACUUUUAGGAUUUUUACUUUUAAAAUUUGAAUUUAUUUGAUUGGGGUGAUUGAAAAAUUUAGUAAACUUUUUUUUUAUUAGAAUAUUAAUUAGUAAGUUUUUGAUCCAUUAAUAAUGAUUAUAAGAUUAAAUUACCUUAGGGAUAACAGCGUAAUUUUUUUUGAGAGUUCAAAUCGAAAGAAAAGAUUGCGACCUCGAUGUUGGAUUAAAAUUAAUUUUUGGUGUAGAGGCUAAGAAUUUUAGGUCUGUUCGACCUUUAAAAUUUUACAUGAUCUGAGUUUAAACCGGUGUGAGCCAGGUUGGUUUCUAUCUUUAAAUGGGGAGUAUAUUUUAGUACGAAAGGACCAAAUAUGUGAUAUAGUUAUUUUUAUAAUGAAUAUCAUU
rnacentral:rRNA from 1 species